UGGGGAAUAUUGCACAAUGGGCGCAAGCCUGAUGCAGCCAUGCCGCGUGUGUGAAGAAGGCCUUAGGGUUGUAAAGCACUUUCAGCGAGGAGGAAGGCAUCACACUUAAUACGUGUGGUGAUUGACGUUACUCGCAGAAGAAGCACCGGCUAACUCCGUGCCAGCAGCCGCGGUAAUACGGAGGGUGCAAGCGUUAAUCGGAAUUACUGGGCGUAAAGCGCACGCAGGCGGUUUGUUAAGUCAGAUGUGAAAUCCCCGCGCUUAACGUGGGAACUGCAUUUGAACUGGCAAGCUAGAGUCUUGUAGAGGGGGGUAGAAUUCCAGGUGUAGCGGUGAAAUGCGUAGAGAUCUGGAGGAAUACCGGUGGCGAAGGCGGCCCCCCUGGANAAAGACUGACGCUCAGGUGCGAAACGCGUGGGGAGCAAACAGGAUUAGAGUACCCUGGUAGUCCACGCUGUAAACGAUGUCGACUUGGAGGUUGUGCCCUUGAGGCGUGGCUUCCGGAGCUAACGCGUUAAGUCGACCGCCUGGGGAGUACGGCCGCAAGGUUAAAACUCAAAGGAAUUGACGGGGUCAUAGCUGUUUCCUG
rnacentral:rRNA from 1 species